rnacentral:rRNA from 1 species
GACGUAGGAGGCGAGCGUUAUCCGGAUUCACUGGGCGUAAAGCGCAUGUAGGCGGAUGUCUAAGUCGUGUGUUAAAGCCCCUGGCUCAACUGGGGGAGGUCAUGCGAGACUGGAUGACUUGAGGGCAACAGAGGCACGUGGAACUCCCGGUGUAGCGGUGGAAUGCGUAGAGAUCGGGGAGAACACCCGUGGCGAAGGCGGCGUGCUGGGUUGCAACUGACGCUGAGAUGCGAAAGUGUGGGGAGCAAACGGG